rnacentral:rRNA from 1 species
CCUACGGGUGGCAGCAGUGAGGAAUAUUGGUCAAUGGACGAGAGUCUGAACCAGCCAAGUAGCGUGAAGGAUGACUGCCCUAUGGGUUGUAAACUUCUUUUAUAUGGAAAUAAAAUGUUCCACGUGUGGGAUUUUGUAUGUACCAUAUGAAUAAGGAUCGGCUAACUCCGUGCCAGCAGCCGCGGUAAUACGGAGGAUCCGAGCGUUAUCCGGAUUUAUUGGGUUUAAAGGGAGCGUAGGUGGAUUGUUAAGUCAGUUGUGAAAGUUUGCGGCUCAACCGUAAAAUUGCAGUUGAAACUGGCAGUCUUGAGUACAGUAGAGGUGGGCGGAAUUCGUGGUGUAGCGGUGAAAUGCUUAGAUAUAACGAAGAACUCCGAUUGCGAAGGCAGUUCACUGGACUGCAACUGACACUGAGGCACGAAAGUGUGGGUAUCAAACAGGAUUAGAUACCCGUGUAGUC